UACGGGGGGAGCAAGCGUUGUUCGGAUUUACUGGGCGUAACGGGCGCGUAGGCGGCCACCGCAAGUCGACUGUGAAAUCUCCGGGCUUAACCCGGAAAGGUCAGCCGAUACUGCGGGGCUAGAGUGCAGAAGGGGCAACUGGAAUUCUCGGUGUAGCGGUGAAAUGCGUAGAUAUCGAGAGGAACACCUGCGGCGAAGGCGGGUUGCUGGGCUGACACUGACGCUGAGGCGCGAAAGCUAGGGGAGCGAACGGG
rnacentral:rRNA from 1 species